rnacentral:rRNA from 1 species
CAAUAGCGUAUAUUAAAGUUGUUGCGGUUAAAAAGCUCGUAGUUGGAUUUCUGCCGAGGACGACCGGUCCGCCCUCUGGGUGAGUAUCUGGUUCGGCCUGGGCAUCUUCUUGGAGAACGUAUCUGCACUUGACUGUGUGGUGCGGUAUCCAGGACUUUUACUUUGAGGAAAUUAGAGUGUUUCAAGCAGGCGUACGACCUCGUAUAACAUUAGUCAUGGAGUAAUAGAGAUAGGACCUUGGUUCUAUUUUGUUGGUUUCUAGAGCUGAGGUAAUGAUUAAUAGGGAUAGUUGGGGGCGAUUCGUAUUUAAUUGUCAGAGGUGAAAUUUUUGGAUUUAUUAAAGACGGACUACUGCGAAAGCAUUUGCCAAGGAUGUUUUCAUUGAUCAAGAACGAAAGUUAGGGGAUCGAAGACGAUUAGAUACCGU